rnacentral:rRNA from 1 species
CCCGCACAAGCGGCGGAGCAUGCGGAUUAAUUCGAUGCAACGCGAAGAACCUUACCAAGGCUUGACAUACACCGGUAACGCCCAGAGAUGGGUGCCCCUUUGUGGUCGGUGGACAGGUGGUGCAUGGUUGUCGUCAGCUCGUGUCGUGAGAUGUUGGGUUAAGUCCCGCAACGAGCGCAACCCUCGUCCUAUGUUGCCAGCGGGUCAUGCCGGGGACUCAUGGGAGACUGCCGGGGUCAACUCGGAGGAAGUGGGGAUGACGUCAAAUCAUCAUGCCCCUUAUGUCUUGGGCUUCACGCAUGCUACAAUGGCCGGUACAAAGGACUGCGAUACCGCGAGGUGGAGCGAAUCCCAGAAAGCCGGUCUCAGUUCGGAUUGGGGUCUGCAACUCGACCCCAUGAAGUCGGAGUCGCUAGUAAUCGCAGAUCAGCAACGCUGCGGUGAAUACGUUCCCGGGCCUU